AUUAAUUCGAUGCAACGCGAAGAACCUUACCUGGGUUUGACAUAUGCCGGAAGGCUGCAGAGAUGCAGCCCCCGCAAGGUCGGUUUACAGGUGGUGCAUGGCUGUCGUCAGCUCGUGUCGUGAGAUGUUGGGUUAAGUCCCGCAACGAGCGCAACCCUCGUCCUAUGUUGCCAGCGGGUCAUGCCGGGGACUCAUAGGAGACUGCCGGGGUCAACUCGGAGGAAAGUGGGGAUGACGUCAAGUCAUCAUGCCCCUUAAGUCCAGGGCUUCACGCAUGCUACAAUGGCUGGUACAAAGGGCUGCGAUGCCGUAGGUGGAGCGAAUCCCAAAAAGCCAGUCUCAGUUCGGAUUGGGGUCUGCAACUCGACCCCAUGAAGUCGGAGUCGCUAGUAAUCGCGGAUCAGCAACGCUG
rnacentral:rRNA from 1 species